UAACUGGAAGCCAAAGUAGAGGCACCUAACUGUUAAUUAGGAGAUUGUAAUUAUUAUUACCCACUUAG
rnacentral:tRNA from 1 species